AAAUAUGCAAUAUAAUAGGGAGUCCAACAAAGGACUCCUGGGCUGAUGGACUUAAUCUUGCUAGUGCUAUUAACUAUCAGUUCCCACAGUCAGUCGGCGUCCACCUUUCUGCACUUAUACCAUCAGCAAGUGAGGAUGCAGUCAACCUUGUCAAGUUGCUUUGUUCUUGGGAUCCAAGCAAGAGGCCUACAGCUGGAGAGGCACUUCAACAUCCUUUUUUCCAGA
rnacentral:misc_RNA from 1 species